UGUCCCGGGUACCUGGGCACGCUCUUUUCUAUUAACAAAUGUUUCACGGCUCUGUCACUAGGUGUGUUCCCAAGAGGAUAUUCAUGUAAUUAGCAGAAGAGCUGUUUUUAAUUUACCAAGUCCUUUUUUCUCUCUCAUUUCCUUUUUCCCAGGGCAGUACUGAGGCAGAGAGGUACAAGGGGCACAAUAUCAGCAACUCUCCCGUGGUCCAGAAAGCAAUUUUUAUUCCAGUUGAGACCUGCCAGUACAUGCCCUGUCUCUGUCAUUACAGCCUCGGCAGAGCAGCGGAGAGGCAUAAUGAGGGCAAAGAUCAUUUCUGCUUCCAGUUUGUGCAGCAGCAUGGCAUAUGUGCUUGUCAGGAGCUGAAAUCCACAUUGUUUCAGGAUGUUUUGAAACCUGCACUGAAGUGAGGCCUUGCCAAGGGAAAGGAGAAGGAUCUCAGCCCUUCCCUGAUGCGAUGACAGUUGAACAUCGGAGAACGGAGCAAAGGAGCAAAGACUGUGUCUGUAACAAGGUCAGCAGUUUCGCUGCUCACAUGUUUUGCCUCGCAGGGCUGGGUUGUGCUAGUACUUGUGAAGUGUCUUAACUGAGAUGUUAAACAUUCCUAAAGUGGUGUUUUAUUCUCUGAUGUCUCGUGCUUGGAAGCUGGAGACCAGUUGUAAACAGAAAAUGUCAAACCAAUGAGUAUUCACUUAUUUGUUAGGUUUAAUAAAGGUGAUGGACGUUUUGUGCUGCUUUUACAA